UGGGGAAUAUUGCGCAAUGGGCGAAAGCCUGACGCAGCCACGCCGCGUGAGCGAUGAAGGCCUUCGGGUCGUAAAGCUCUGUGGGGAGAGACGAAGAAAGCCCGUGAAGAGCGGGCCUUGACGGUAUCUCCUUAGCAAGCACCGGCUAACUCCGUGCCAGCAGCCGCGGUAAUACGGAGGGUGCAAAUGUUGCUCGGAAUCAUUGGGCGUAAAGCGCACGUAGGCGGCGAGAUAAGUCGGGUGUGAAAGCCCUGGGCUCAACCCAGGAAGUGCAUUCGAAACUGUCUCGCUUGAAUCUCGGAGGGGGUCAGAGAAUUCCCGGUGUAGAGGUGAAAUUCGUAGAUAUCGGGAGGAAUACCAGUGGCGAAGGCGCUGACCUGGACGAAGAUUGACGCUGAGGUGCGAAAGCGCGGGGAGCAAACAG
rnacentral:rRNA from 1 species